CGCAUCUGUGCAUGCAGCAUAUCAAUAAGCGGAGGAAAAGAAACUAACAAGGAUUCCCCUAGUAACGGCGAGUGAAGCGGGAAGAGCUCAAAUUUGAAAUCUUAAAGGGUUUCCCUUUACGAAUUGUAGUUUAAAGAAGUGUUUUCUGUUGAGGUUUUGGUAAAAGUUCUUUGGAAUAGGACAUCAUAGAGGGUGAGAAUCCCGUAUUUGACCUUUACUUUCAACUUUGUGAUACACUUUCAAAGAGUCGGAUUGUUUGGGAAUGCAGUCCAAAAUGGGUGGUAAAUUUCAUCUAAAGCUAAAUAUUGGCGAGAGACCGAUAGCGAACAAGUACCGUGAGGGAAAGAUGAAAAGAACUUUGAAAAGAGAGUUAAACAGUACGUGAAAUUGUCAAAAGGGAAGCGUUUGACACCAGUGUUGUUUUUCUGAAAGUCAAUUAAAGAACUGUUUAUGCUAAGUUGUUUAGACUUUAUCAGCUAACUGUUUAGUUUUGAGCUUUUCUUUAAUGCACUUUUCAGUUAACAAGUCAACAUCAAUUUCUUUUGCUGUAAAAAAGCUUGAGGAAGGUGGCUUGAGAUUCGUCUUAAGUGUUUAUAGCCUCUUGCCUAUGCAGUCGGAGAGAUUGAGGUCUGCAGCGUAGAUCCUUCGGGGCUAAAUGCAUUUGUGCUAAGUUAUAGCAUUUUAUAGACAACUUGUUGACUAUGAUUUGUCUUGUAGCUUACUCGCUUAUGUUAUUUUACCUACGCUUAGGAUGUUGAACGCGCACAGAGUCUC
rnacentral:rRNA from 1 species